AUCUUUGUUUUGUUGGAGCCUCGGCAUAGACACGAGGCUUCGCAGGCCUGCAUCCGCUGGUACGAGACGUUUUAUGCCCCAAGAGUCUGGGAACAUUUCACACUCAAAGGAAACUUCCUGAAGAAAAGAAGGUACUACGCUCACAAAGGGUACCAACGAGAAACGUGUCCCAGGAAGACUCAGAUCUGUCUCCACCAAGUGGGAUACCUCUUCAAAAAAAUUACUAUCACGCCGAUUCACGACUUUCAGCAUGUGUACGAGUUUAUUCGCAUUCUUCGCGCAUAUUUGGGGUACUUUGAUGAAUUUCCAAUGCCACUACUGCGUACUUUUCAUUUUACUUUCACGUGCGAGACGCGCGGCAUUACGGGUGUAAUUCUUCACGGAACAGGCGGGAAGAUGAUGGAGGAAUUGCGGCAUCUUCUUCGAAACAUGAAAUUGUUGAAAGAUUUGAAACUUAACAACCUUAUGUUAGAUGAUGCUGAGGUGGAAGGGUUGUUUGAAGCAAUCGCUUACAAUUGUAGCGACACAUUGGAGACCAUGGAAAUUCUUAAUUUUACAAAGGAUCCGUACCCUAUUCUGGACAUUACGCUGUUCAACAACAUUCACACACUCAGAACAAGUCCGCAACACCUUGACGAUGAGGUCAUUAUUAUUCUUGCGUCAUCAAGUGUCUCCAAUCUUCACAUCAUUCAAGGACGCUACACAUGUAAUACCGAUUCCGUGUCAGAUGACGCGUGGCGUCUUGUCAAACAAAUGGCGCCAUAUUUUCGUGUCACUUUGGAAGUUCGAGGGCACACAAAGACACCUUUGAUUCUUCAACCUCACGCGCCAGUAAACCGCAUCGUUUACGAUUCGCCAAAUUUGAAAUUUCCCCACGAGACUGCCGUUUGGAUAGUACAUUAUUACCACGACACUCUUGAAUACUUCGCACAAAAGCGACUUCCGCGCACGCACGGUCCUCGCACUUUCCACGACCGCGGCGAUGCUGCGUUUCUGAUGUUAGCCAGAAGUUGUCCAAAACUACAUACACUUAUCAUCAGCGAGAGAAUAUCCACAGCAACGGCCAUUUUGAUCGCAAAGAGUAAACCAUCACUUGAAAAGUUUAUUGUUCGUCAAAAUGGACUGCUUAAAAGAUGCGACGGUCCGAAAUCGGACAACAGUUUCAGUAAUGCGGAAACAAAAAGGAUCUCGCGGUCUUAUGAAACAACCAGUGAGGAAAUUUCUAAAACCUUUGGCAAAAGAUGGGUUCCUAUGUCAGACAAGAAUUUUAAGAAGUUGUGAAUCUGGGAAAUGCUGCAUGUUGCUUCAAUCUGUAGAAAAAUGUAGCGUAUUUUUUACUUUUGUACAACGUUGUUAUAGUAUGUUGAGCAUGGUCAAUAUUGUUGUACAAUUAUUCGUACACAGUGCAAAAUACCCCUUUAUAUAGUCAUUGUUCAGCAUGCUCUAUAUUUUUGAUAUGCCGUUUCCUGAACGUGUUGGUAAGUGUGACUUUUUAUUACGCAUUCCUGUAUGUGAUGUUAUUUAGGUUAUAUGAUUAUAUUAAACGUCAAUAAAAAUGUUAAUAAC
rnacentral:misc_RNA from 1 species